rnacentral:lncRNA from 1 species
GGUCAACCAAUGCAAUUGACUCCUCAGCAGAUUCAACAGAUGAUGAUGAUGAAGGCUGCUGCUGCUCAUGGUGGUGGUGGUAACGGUCAGAUGAAAAUGCCUCCUGUUGCAGCUAAGGACCAGAAGAAGUCUGUUAAGUUUGCGGAAGAUGAUGACGAUGAGUUUAGUGAGGAUGAUUAUGAUGACGAGGACUUCAGUGAGGAUGAUUAUGAUGAUGAUGAGUUCGAUGAUGAUGAAGAUGACGAUGAGGAGAUGGGAGGACAUGGAGGAGGUAAUCACAUGCCUCCUAAUAAGAUGAUGAUGCCUAACAAAUUGCCUCAGAUGGGUGGUGGUGCUGGACCCAAGGGGC